rnacentral:rRNA from 1 species
UGCAGUCGAACGAUGAUCCCAGCUUGCUGGGGGAUUAGUGGCGAACGGGUGAGUAACACGUGAGUAACCUGCCCUUGACUCUGGGAUAAGCCUGGGAAACUGGGUCUAAUACCGGAUACGACCAUCUGGCGCAUGUCAUGGUGGUGGAAAGCUUUUGUGGUUUUGGAUGGACUCGCGGCCUAUCAGCUUGUUGGUGGGGUAAUGGCCUACCAAGGCGACGACGGGUAGCCGGCCUGAGAGGGUGACCGGCCACACUGGGACUGAGACACGGCCCAGACUCCUACGGGAGGCAGCAGUGGGGAAUAUUGCACAAUGGGCGCAAGCCUGAUGCAGCGACGCCGCGUGAGGGAUGACGGCCUUCGGGUUGUAAACCUCUUUCAGUAGGGAAGAAGCGAAAGUGACGGUACCUGCAGAAGAAGCGCCGGCUAACUACGUGCCAGCAGCCGCGGUAAUACGUAGGGCGCAAGCGUUAUCCGGAAUUAUUGGGCGUAAAGAGCUCGUAGGCGGUUUGUCGCGUCUGCUGUGAAAGACCGGGGCUCAACUCCGGUUCUGCAGUGGGUACGGGCAGACUAGAGUGCAGUAGGGGAGACUGGAAUUCCUGGUGUAGCGGUGAAAUGC